GAUAGAACCAGGAUUGUAAAGUUUGACAAGUUUAGGGUCGGUUGAAUAACUACUGGACCGAUCAAAUCAUAAAAAAGUGAGGAAUGUAAAUAUGACUGUAAAGAUUAGAAUCGAUUAGAAGGUCUGGCAAAACUGGCCCUAAUAUGAACAGAAUUGACGAAAAUAAAUUGAGU
ensembl:ncRNA R10E12.6 ncRNA